GCCGGGAUAGCUCAGUUGGUAGAGCAGAGGAUUGAAA
rnacentral:tRNA from 6 species